rnacentral:rRNA from 1 species
GAAUAUUAGUCAAUGCUCGAAAGAGUGAACUAGCUAACUGAAAUCAAUAGAAAAAUUGAUAACAUAAGGGAAAAUAAUGAUAUUACCUUAUUAUUAGUGUCGUCCAAAUCUGGUGCCAGAAGACUCGGUAAGGCCAGAGACACGAACGUUAAUCGUCUUAAUCAGGCGUAAAGGGUUUGUAGGCGGCUUUAAAUUUACUUAUAAAACAAAAAAAAAAGUAAAGAAAAAAAGCUAGAAUCAAAUAGAGGAUAUAUUAAAUAAUGCUUAGAGUAGGUCUGAUAUCUUUAGAUACUAAGUAGAAUAUUAAAGGCGAAAGCUUUUUUCCAUUAAUGAUUGACGCUCAGAAACGAAGGUGAGGAUAGGAAAUAGGAUUUGAUACCCAAAAUACCCCUCUCUGUCAACGAUGAAUGGUAGUUAUUAAAAAAUAUUAUUAAUGGCAAUGUUAACACGAUAACCAUUCCGCCUUGUGAGUACGACUGCAAAGUUGAAAACAAAAAAAUUAGUCGGUUUCGGAGCAAACGAAGUGAAGCAUGUUAUUUAAUUC